rnacentral:rRNA from 1 species
AACGAACGCUGGCGGCAUGCCUAACACAUGCAAGUCGAACGAGACCUUCGGGUCUAGUGGCGCACGGGUGCGUAACGCGUGGGAAUCUGCCCUUGGGUUCGGAAUAACAGUUAGAAAUGACUGCUAAUACCGGAUAAUGUCUUCGGACCAAAGAUUUAUCGCCCAGGGAUGAGCCCGCGUAGGAUUAGCUAGUUGGUGAGGUAAAGGCUCACCAAGGCGACGAUCCUUAGCUGGUCUGAGAGGAUGAUCAGCCACACUGGGACUGAGACACGGCCCAGACUCCUACGGGAGGCAGCAGUGGGGAAUAUUGGACAAUGGCGAAAGCCUGAUCCAGCAAUGCCGCGUGAGUGAUGAAGGCCUUAGGGUUGUAAAGCUCUUUUACCCGGGAUGAUAAUGACAGUACCGGGAGAAUAAGCCCCGGCUAACUCCGUGCCAGCAGCCGCGUAAU